GGGUGUAUAGCACCAAUUGGUAGUGCAACUGAUUCCAAAUCAGUAGGUUGGGGGUUCGAGUCCCUCUGCGCCCGCCA
rnacentral:tRNA from 6 species